UUUUAAUUCUUUCAUUACAUUGCCUUCUAC
rnacentral:piRNA from 1 species